rnacentral:rRNA from 1 species
GAUGAACGCUAGCUACAGGCUUAACACAUGCAAGUCGCGGGGUAACAUCUGGGAGAGCUUGCUCUUCCAGGAUGACGACCGGCGCACGGGUGAGUAACGCGUAUCCAACCUGGCCCAUACCACGGGAUAGCCCGUCGAAAGGCGGAUUAAUACCCGUAUGCUGUCAUUAAGAUGCAUAUAUUGAUGACGAAAGGACUGGCGGUAUGGGAUGGGGAUGCGUCUGAUUAGCUUGUUGGCGGGGUAACGGCCCACCAAGGCGACGAUCAGUAGGGGUCUGAGAGGAAGGUCCCCCAAUUGGAACUGAGACACGGUCCAAA